GUGCGCCGGCUCCUGGAUUGCAGUCACCUCCGAGCCAUUUAAGAUCAGCUCCAACUUUCUGCAUGUGCUAAAUACCGUGCGGAGCCGCGUUGCGCCGGAAUGCAAGCCAAUCAGUAUAUGAAAAAAAAAUAGAUCUUUAAUAAGAUUUAUUAGCCGCCCGGCUCCCCCUCUUCACAGCCACCCCUCCUCGUGCUCUCUGCCCCUGCCCCUCCCUCCGUUAAAUCAUUGGAGGUGGGAUAUACGGCGGAGUGCUGGUGCUGUUAGUUUUGAUUUUUUUUAACAAAAAAGGAGGUUUUCGUCCGGGAAGAGCCGCAGCCCUGUCCCUGGGAUGCUCGGCCGGUCCCUCCCGCGGGCAGGGGCCACCCCGGCACCGGACCUGUUGCGGCGGCUGUGCGGGCGGAGCGGCGGCGGGGUCCGGACAGGAGAGGGGAUCAGCUUCGCGGAGGGCUCGGAUUUAGUCUUUCCCAGCGCCGGCCGCAGGAGAAGGGCGAUCCGGAGGGGAGCAGAGGGGGCUGAGAUGGGUCCGCAGACACUGCUCAGAGCGAGGGUUUGCCCGCGGAUCUAAGGAACACACCGGGUAUCCUCCCCCCGCCCUCGGCUCAAUGAAGGGUCGAGGCGAAAGCAGAUUAAAACCAUAUGAACCGGGAUAAAUCCCUGCCGAUCAGAAGAUGUAAUCUCCUGUGAUUCCACCAGAUAUAUUUCUCAAUAGAAACAUAUCCCGAUUUAUUCCCUCCUCACAUAUUUUUUCCCUUGCAGUUGAGGAAAGGAGCUGCUCCAGCGGCCGCGGACCCCUGGCCAUCGGGAUCCGCCGUGCCUUUCUCGGUCGAAGGAAAGGAGCGAUAGCAUAAGAUUUAUAUUUUCAGAAUUUAUUUUAUUUUGUAACUUUUGCAUUUCCCGACCCUAAUGCUCUCGCCGCGCUCCCCUGCGGGACGUACGCGGAGACGCGAGGAGCAGGGCUGUGUUUUAAACCGGGCAGGCCGGGGCAGGAGCUCCCCGUGUCGCCGUGGAGGCGACACCGACGCCGCCCCGCUUUCUCCGUCCCUCCCUCCCUCCUUCUCUCCCUCCCUCCUUCUCCGGAGCUCCGUCCCGGCGGCAGCAUCCACAGCCCCCAGCCGGGCGCAGGCUGGACUCGCCGAGCGGCCGCGCUGCAGGGCCGGGGCUGGGCGGGAAGGGUGCACUGUCCCCGCUACCUUCGGGGGGACGCUGCAGGACCGAGGCCGGCGGGGCGGGCGCUGCCCGCCGUACAGCAGAGUCAGCCGCGUACCCUGCCCUGCACUACAGUACCCAUCAGGCCGCGGCCCCGCCAGGCCCGCCCCCGGCCGUCCCAGCGCAUGACUGGCUGUUCCCCCGCCGGCGGCGGGCGCUCCGCUUCUUCCACGGGCCCGCGGAGCUGUCCCUCAGCGCGGGGAAGAAGCAGAAGUUUUAACCAUCUUCCCAUGGCAUCUGACUUUUUUGAAGAGGAGGACUUUUCAACCACUUAAUGGAAGGGAAAAAAGAAGUUUGUUUCAAGACUCUUAUGUUGUUCAUCAGUGCUGUUAACAAACUUGGGGCUUGAGGAUACAUUUACUGCUUCUCUGCAUUUUUGCUGAAGGAAGGACCUUGCUGUCUCCUGGCUCCUGUGGGCAUUAGGUUUCACGAAUGUCUCUUGGGAAGAGGACAGCUCUGUAGAGCCUAAGUUUCAAAAGUAAUUUUAAAGAUUGCACCCAAGAGAGAAGCAGUGAGAUGCACAGCGGGGAAAAUGAACCCAGCAUUCCAUCCUAUCCUGUACCUGCCUGAAUAUGGGAAGAGACCCAGUACAAAGCCAGAAUGCAGCUGGGCUUGCAGUAUUUUUAACCAUAUUAAGUGCUGUUCAGAGUUAAUGAUGAGCUCAGUGAGAUGGUCUCAGCAAUGCUGAAGGAAGGGAAGGACAGAAUUGGAAGGCAGGAGCUAUUUCAAAGCAGGAUUCUUCAUCUUUCUGUAAUGCCCAAACAUGAAGACUUUAUAAACUUCAUUAGAUCCUGCCAUCAAUGACUGAGCCUCCCUGAAACCUUAUCAGUUACUGCCAAGAUGAGAAGGAUAACAGGAAGGAGGAGUGCUUAAGUGGCUUUAAUGACAGUUAAUUUCUUCUAUUUAUCAAAUGACAGGUUGUUUUUUUCCUCAAAACUCAAUUGUCAUGACAAGAUGCUUUUGGAAGUAAUUUUUUGUAAAAUAAAAUGACAAUUUUUAGGCUA